GUUCGUAGGCGGUGCGGCAAGUUGGGAGUGAAAUCUCUGGGCUCAACCCAGAGGCUGCUUCCAAACUGCUGUGCUUGAGUGUGGGAGAGGCGCGUGGAAUUGCAGGUGUAGCGGUGAAAUGCGUAGAUAUCUGCAGGAACACCCGUGGCGAAAGCGGCGCGCUGGACCACUACUGACGCUGAGGAACGAAAGCUAGGGGAGCAAACAGGAUUAGAUACCCUGGUAGUCCUAGCCCUAAACGAUCAGGACUUGGGGUGCCACCCGUUCGGGUGUCGUCCCGGAGCUAACGCGUUAAGUCCUGCACCUGGGGAGUACGGUCGCAAGACUGAAACUCAAAGGAAUUGACGGGGGCCCGCACAAGCGGUGGAACAUGUGGUUCAAUUCGACGCUACGCGAGGAACCUUACCUGGGCUCGAAAUGCUGGUGACCAGCUGUAGAAAUACGGCCUUCCCGCAAGGGACACCAGUAUAGGCGCUGCAUGGCUGUCGUCAGCUCGUGCCGUGAGGUGUUGGGUUAAAUCCCGCAACGAGCGCAACCCCUGCACGUAAUU
rnacentral:rRNA from 1 species